CGAGAACUCCGGCUGUGACCUGUG
rnacentral:miRNA from 11 species